AGUGAACGCUGGCGGUAGGCCUAACACAUGCAAGUCGAACGGCAGCACAGGAGAGCUUGCUCUCUGGGUGGCGAGUGGCGGACGGGUGAGGAAUACAUCGGAAUCUACUCUGUCGUGAGGGAUAACGUAGGGAAACUUACGCUAAUACCGCAUACGACCUACGGGUGAAAGCAGGGGACCUUCGGGCCUUGCGCGAUUGAAUGAGCCGAUGUCGGAUUAGCUAGUUGGCGGGGUAAAGGCCCACCAGGGCGAGGAUCCGUAGCUGGUCUGAGAGGAUGAUCAGCCACACUGGAACUGAGACACGGUCCAGACUCCUACGGGAGGCAGCAGUGGGGAAUAUUGGACAAUGGGCGCAAGCCUGAUCCAGCCAUACCGCGUGGGUGAAGAAGGCCUUCGGGUUGUAAAGCCCUUUUGUUGGGAAAGAAAUCCAGCUGGCUAAUACCCGGUUGGGAUGACGGUACCCAAAGAAUAAGCACCGGCUAACUUCGUGCCAGCCGCCGCAGUAA
rnacentral:rRNA from 1 species